CCUACGGGAGGCAGCAGUGAGGAAUAUUGGUCAAUGGACGAGAGUCUGAACCAGCCAAGUAGCGUGAAGGAUGACUGCCCUAUGGGUUGUAAACUUCUUUUAUAUGGGAAUAAAAUGUUCCACGUGUGGGAUUUUGUAUGUACCAUAUGAAUAAGGAUCGGCUAACUCCGUGCCAGCAGCCGCGGUAAUACGGAGGAUCCGAGCGUUAUCCGGAUUUAUUGGGUUUAAAGGGAGCGUAGGUGGAUUGUUAAGUCAGUUGUGAAAGUUUGCGGCUCAAACGUAAAAUUGCAGUUGAAACUGGCAGUCUUGAGGACAGUAGAGGUGGGCGGAAUUCGUGGUGUAGCGGUGAAAUGCUUAGAUAUCACGAAGAACUCCGAUUGCGAAGGCAGUUCACUGGACUGCAACUGACACUGAGGCUCGAAAGUGUGGGUAUCAAACAGGAUUAGAUACCCUAGUAGUC
rnacentral:rRNA from 1 species